UAAGGGGCCCCAGUCAUCUUCUCCCAGGUCCAUAAUUCACAGUUUAAUUACAGCAGACAUAAGCCGACUCAAAUUACGGGAUGCCUGUGAAUCCCCGGGCAGGAUUCCUCGAGGUGUCACAACCAAGGAAAGACAGAAACCGAGACUCCCAAACUGUAGUGUGGCAUCCCACAUAGGAUCCUGGGACAGAAGAGGACUUAAAUGGAGAGGGUGGUGAAAUAGGAAUGUAGGCUGGAGUUUAGCAACUAACAGCAACGUGUUAUUAUUUGUUUCUUUGAGUUGUUGCAGGUGCCACGAUGACACCGAUGUUAAUGCAAGGAAGAGGGAGGGCUUGGCUGUCAGUAGGGCUGCCUGUGACAGCAAAAUUAUGACACGGUCAUCUGCUUCAGAGAAUCUUAUGGGAGUCCCUCCUUCCGAAUGGUCUCUCAAGAAGCAAAGGGAAUCAGAGAAUUGCAAGACAAAGAGGAUGCUGAAGCCGCCUGGAGACCGGGAGCAGGAAGCACUGUCUCAGCCAGAGAAUCGAUGAACAGAAGGGAGGCCCUCAGACAUGGAGCCAUGCGUGAGGAAGGAUGCUCACAGCUGGGGCGGCUGCUGAGACUGCUGCAUGCACACCGGAAAUGAGACUCAGAAGUGUGAGCUUCACCUGAGCGAGACAAUGAGCUGCCCUGACAGCCACCGCACACACAGAUAAACCAGGAGCCACCGCCUACACCGUGUGGUCUGCCUGCUCUUUCUCCACACAUGAAGAAGGGUUUUCAGAUCCACUGGAUGGGAACGCGACCAUUGUACUUUGAAAGCCAAGCCUUCUAAUUCUAAUCAAGACAGCUGGGUCCCUCUGAACACCGGCAUCCGUGCACGGCUGGCGUUGUCUGCUAGCUGGAUGUUAUCCUCUGCAUCGGGAAUAUUCUCCGAUUUCCCCCCAAGCAAUGUGUUGCCUUGGAAACAUCAUGAUCCUUUCAGAGAUCUAAGC